UACGUAGGGCGCGAGCGUUGUCCGGAAUUAUUGGGCGUAAAGAGCUCGUAGGCGGUCUGUCGCGUCUGCUGUGAAAAUCCGGGGCUCAACCCCGGACUUGCAGUGGGUACGGGCAGACUAGAGUGUGGUAGGGGAGACUGGAAUUCCUGGUGUAGCGGUGAAAUGCGCAGAUAUCAGGAGGAACACCGGUGGCGAAGGCAGGUCUCUGGGCCACUACUGACGCUGAGAAGCGAAAGCAUGGGGAGCGAACAGG
rnacentral:rRNA from 1 species